AGACGAUGCUUAGGCAUCUCCUCAGCCCGAACGUACCCUGGGUAUCGACGGGCUGUUAUAUCCUCUUUAGCCAUAACUCACG
rnacentral:ncRNA from 21 species